rnacentral:lncRNA from 1 species
ACACACACAAAAAAGGCUCUACUGUUGGCUACAAAAAUCUCCUCUCUCGGCUCUCUCCCACAGGACAGAAGACAAGCCAUAACAAGAAAAAAAAAAGAAAAACUCCUCUCUCCAUUCGGCUCCCUCUCUUUUCCUAAUAUACACACACAGAAUCAAGCACAAGAAAGCAAGCAAUCGGACGCGAGGAGAUUGGAAUUUCAUCAACAAUUUUAACUAAGGUCAUAAGAGGUAUCAACACUUCCAUUGAACUAUUUCCCGUUUUUUUUUCUUUAUCGUGUUGAAUUCAUGUAUUAUUGGUUGUUCCUGCUGUUUUCUUGUUGUUGCUGCUGGUGUUGUUGAAAUUUUGGGGUAAAGCCAUGAAUAAACAUUAAGGAAAAGAUGAUUUCUGUGAAUGCAUGUUAAUUGUUUGAAAAAAUGCCAAAAAGAAUUUUAGGGACUGUUUUGCCUUAAUUCAGCCUUUUUAUGUUGUUUUCUUGUUCAACUUAGAUUAUAGUUGUAAUGUAGAAGUUAUAAGGAGGGUUUUGGCAUAAUUUUUAAGAUUUUUGGUGAAGAUUAUAGUGUUUUAAAAAAUAAAAAACUGGACUGGCUUUUUGCUUUUCGGCCACCUUCGGGUCAUCUUUUGUAAAAAUUAACUCCGGAAAUGGAACCUACGCGAAAAAUGGAGUGGAGAGGUGUAUUUUGAGAAAUUUUGGCCACUGGAAAAGUCGCCGGUGACCGGCGGUCCGGUGGCGCCGCCACCAUGGCUACCAGCUGAAGCUUCUUCGGUUGGCCGAAGAAGAAGGAAAGGAAACGUAUGGGGAAGAAAAGAGAAAGAAAAGAAAGAAAGAAAAAAGGGGUUUGGGCUAAUGUUUUAUUUCGGUUGGGCCAAGAGUUAGUUUUGGUUGGGUUAUGAAAAUGGGUUUUGGUUUAUUUUCUUUUGGGUUUCUGUUGGGCUAAGAGUUUUGAGUCCAUAUAUUUUGGUUGGGUUUGAGUGAUAAAAGACGGGCUGGCCUGUGUGUUUUAGCUUGGGUUUUCAGUUGGGCUUAGGUAGGUUUGGCCCAAGUAAAAUAAAAAGGGAGGCCCGAUGCCCUCUUCUUGCCCAAAUCAGAAACGAACUUGCACUUCAGUCCCUGUACUUUCAAGUACUUUCACUGCGGCCCAGAACAUUUUAAAUUCCUUUCAACUCGGUCCUUAAAUUAAUUUCACUUUGGUCCCUGAAUUUUAUCUUUCAUUUAAUUUGGACCCCUGAACUUUGGAAAAUAUAAUUUUUGUCCCCCAAAAGUUUUCAAUUUUUGUAAUUCAGUCCUUGACAAAUUUUGGCUCUCUUUAUUAUGAUUGUUUCUUUUCUUCAAUAACUAAUUAUGUUACUUUUGAACAUAUUCAACUUGUAAUUUUUAGAUAUUUUAAAUUUCUUUAUGUUUGACAUAUUAGCGUGAGCUUAGUACUUUUAUUAUUAUUGUUUUUUUUAAAAUUAAAUUGGUGCCAUGAUUCUUUUGUUCAUUGUGAGUAUAAAUAGGACAAUUUGACUCCAUUUAGUCACCACUUCAAAAGGGAGGUACCUCAUUAUUAUUAUUUCAAUGUUAAUUACGUGCUCUUAUGUGCUCUUACGUGCUCCUAUAUGUUUAUAUAUUUUUAUAUGCUUUGUUUAUUUGAUUUGAAUGAUCAUUUAAAUUUUCUUAUACUUUUUUAGUUAAUUUUAUAAUUAUUUGAGAGGCAUUUAAAUACCUCAAAAAUGUAAUAGAUAGGAUAAUUAGAUUUGUUUUAUUUUAUUUCCCCUUUUAGAUUGUAGUUAGGCGCUCCCCGAUGUAAUAGAUAGGUUGUGUGCUUAUGUGGCUUAUGUGUUACGUGCCUUACUUGCUUUCCUUAGGAUUUUUGCAUCUAGAUAUUAUGCUUAUGUGUUACGUGCUACGUGCUCUUAUGUGUUUAUUUGUUUUAAUUUAUGUCUACUUGUCUUAUUAUGUAUUAAAAAUGCAUGACGUCACCACACUAGUCCAACGCUAGUUGUGGUUUCUCCCUCCGUUUACUUGCUAGUCCAACGCUAGUAAGGAUUUUUAGAAAUGGGUUAGUCCAACGCUAGACCCUUAGAUCGUUCGUGCGUUAGAUUCAUUUUUGUGUGAUAUUCAUUACAUUUUCACGCAUAUUUUCAUUUUUACGAUCUUUUCCCAUUUGCAUGAUAUUUCCUAUUAUAUUAUCCCCUAUCCUCUAUAUGUGUUAAUCAUGUCAUUUAGAAUUGCAUUUCAUUUAGGAUAUUAUAUAAUAAGUUAGCUCAUUUGUUUGUGCAUAUUAGGAGAAUUAUUUUUCAAAUAUGGGAAAUGAGUGAUUAUAACUUUUUAGUUUAAAUGCCCCAUUAAUCCCUGUAUAAGAAAAUUAUGUCACGAGUUUUUGCCUCCCAUACCCUUCAUGUUGCAUUCCCUUUUUCUUUGAUCACUUAUAUAUGUAUAUAAUUUAAUUUAUUUUAUUUUAUUUUAAUUUCAUCAUUUACAUACUCGUGACACUUUCAAGGAAUCAUUUUGGCCUUCGCAAUUAAUGCGAUUGGUUCAAUUAAACCCUUGAAUGAACAUGUUGCCCCUUUCGAUAUUUUUUUUAUAUUUAGAUUUGCAUUCAUGUAGGAAACAUCCAAAUGUGAUAAAUUAAGGGUUAGAUUAGGAAAAUUUUGACUAAAUCUCGCAACUAGCUUAGACUAGGUUGAAAGGGUGCCUUAGGUUUGAGUCAAUUAAACCUUUGCCUUCCCUUUCUUCAACCGUGACUCCCGAACCUAUUUUCUCUUGUUUUCAAAGACCUGGAGUUGUCAAAAAGGGUUUUGAUUUAUUUUAUUUUUGUCAAAAAAUAUUUUUUGGGUGACUUGGUACACCAAAACUCCAUACCAAGUGGCGACUCCUAUUUUUUUCUUAAAAACCCUUUUAGACUAAAUUUUGGACCCAAAUUGUCGCAUUUUUUUAAGUCUCAUUUUAGGUCCCUUUUAACUUGUUUUAAAAUAAGAUCACAUCUUUUCUAAACCACCUUUAUAUUUAUUUUCCAUCGCGAAAAAUGGGGCGCGACACACGUAUUCAUUCAUUUUUUCUUUUGUGCCUCUAAACUGAAGCAGUAAAUGCAUAUGAACUCUUGCCCAUUUUAUACGUCUUCUUAGUUAUUCAUGCAUGUAAACUAUUUAAUUAGUUCUUUGUGCGUUCAAUGCUAGUUUACUCCUAAAAUUCGACUUAUCUCGUCUCUCGAUGUUAGUUUUAUACAGCGGUCUUAUAGGAUCAUUCCCCAGCUAAAAAGGGGGAGAAAAAAAGAAGAAGAAGAAAAGGAUAAUUGCCCUUCAAGAAAAGGAUCAUUGCAAUUCUCUCAUUCUUUUUUGAGAAAAUUACAAUUUUAAUCCCAAAUGUAAAAUGUUGGGGACAGAAGCGCUUUUAGUCCCUAAAAUUUAUAUGAAAGCAAAUGUAGUUCCGAAUAUUUUAGUUUCCAUGCACGUUCUGUCCUAAUGCUUUAUUUUUACCAAUUAUUACCGGGAGUAGGCCACACACCAGCAAUUAAUAUUUUUUGAAAAUUUUUAAAAAAUGAUGAAGUAUUACUCCUACUAGCCAUAACCUAUAAUAAAAAAAAAUGACUAAUUACUCAUAUGUUUAUCACGUGAGUAAUUAGUUUUUAACUUUUUUAUUUGUUAACCAAAUUUUUGUAUUUAUGGGUUAAAGAUUAAUUACUCAUAUGAUCAGUAUGCGAAUAAUUUACUAUAAAUAUGGCCAAUAAUAUUUUAAAAAAAAAAUAGUUGGUGAAAUGUAACAGCAUGUGACCAAAUUCUGGUAGCAAUUGGUGAAAAUUAGUCAAUAUAACUAAAUGUGCUUAGAGAUUGAAACAUUUGAUACCAAAAAAUACAAUUAUUUCUUCUUUUUUAAUAUGGGAAUUGGAAGUUGUUUUUUUCCUUUCCCACUUUUUGUGUGUAAGGCUGCAUACAUACACGUAUGUAUACCCAAAAUGUAUUGUGUACCUCCCAAUAGGUAGUAUUUUUCUCUGAGUUGGAUUUUCAGGGCAUCCUGACCUAAGGAAAUUAUUUCUAGAGUUAUUUGGCAACUUGUUGAAAAAAAAAAAAUGAAAGAGAAGUUCAAGAUUCUUGACUCUAAAUGCACCUGGCUAAUUCCUACAUACUGCAAUUAGGGCUACAAACGAAUCGAGCCGCUCGCGAGCGGCUCGAGUCAAGCUCGAGUCGAGCUCGAGCCGGCUCGAGUCAAACUCGAGCUCGAGCUCGAGCUCAGAAUAUUAAGCUCGUUAGCUCGCGAGCCGGCUCGCGAGCUUGGGUAUAUAUAUAUUUAUUUUUAUUUUUAUUUUUAUUUAAUAAUAAAAUUACGUAUAUAUAUAUUUUUUUUAUUUUUAUUUUCAUAGUAAAAUUACGUAUAUGUCCUUAAAAUUUUAUUAUUUAUUAAGAAAAAAAUAUUAUUUUAUUUAUUUAUUUUUUAAAUAAAAUAUUUAUUUUUUAUUUUUUUUCGAGCUCGAGCUCGAAAUUUGCCGGCUCGUCGAGCUCGAGCUUGGUAAAAUUUAGUCGAGGCUCGGCUCGAUUAGCUCAAAGCUCGACUCGGCUCGGCUCGUUUGCAGCCCUAACUGCAAUUACCUCGUUGAUUGCUUACUAUGGUUGCUUUGUUUUGUGCCAAUGUCUAUUUUUGCAUGAAAUUAAAAGAGUCAUUGAUGCUCUCAACCUGGUAAGGUACAUGACCCAACGGAAUGGAAAACUCUUAACUGUAUCUUUUUUAUUUAUAAAAUUUUGAAAAAAAUUGUUUAAAAUAUCACUUAUAUUUUGUUGAAUGAAUUUUUUUUUGUUCUUCAUUUUUAAAAUUGCUACCUCUCUUACAAACUCAAUUCGACAAAAUUUGGUCCAAUCGAAGUUUUCAAUUACAUUUGACCCUAAUUCAUCAUGUGGCCUGUGUAUGGUCAGUUUUUAGGGUAAAAAAGAUUAGGUCCCAUUUACAAUUAAAUAAAUGGUCUAAUUCAUAUUCAUUUUUGUUCAUAAAAAAAUAAGAUAUAACCUAAAUUAUAUUCAUUUUAUGCUCUAAAAAAGUGAGAUCUAACCCAAUAUAUAUUCAAAUUUCGCCACUAAAAAGAUGAGAUCUGACAUUUUAUUUUUAAAUAUAAAAAAAUUGAUAGCAUAUGGAUCAGUAGUGAUUUCAAAAUAAAAAAUGGUGAAAUUUUUAGAUUGGGAUCAAACUUCGUUAACUUACAUUUGUAAGAGACGUAAAGUUAAUAUUUUAAAAAUGAAGGAUUUAAAAAUUCAUUUGACAAAAUACGAAUGACGUGUUGAACAAAUUUUUCUAAAAUUUUCUAAUAAGUGUCUCAGUACAUUUAAAAUGGAUUCAACUUAUCACGUAAACACGCAUAAUCAUAAUUAUUACAUCUGCCACAUUUAGUUAUUUUUCUAAAUUAAUGACAUUUUUUUCAAAAAAAUAACAUCUAAAACCCCUAUUAACGAGUGUUUAUUGAAUACCUGUUAGUGCAUUGUUUAUUUACUUAAUCUUUAACUCGUGCUCAAAAUUGUGAACUAAUGUACACAAGGACUCAAGCCUGAAAAAAGAAUUGCAUAACAAGUUGAGAACAAUUAUUGUUAGCAGUAGACUCUCAGUCAUUAUUGUGUCUGACCGAAAAAACAAAGAACAUGAUUAUAAACACAAGUUUCUGUCAAAAAAUACAACCAUGAACAUAAAAUAAGAAAAAGAUUUUUUUCAUGGGAAAGUUUGUUAUGCCAUAAGCUUACUAAUUUAGUAUGUCUGUUUCUUUGUAAGAAUAUCACAAAUGUUUAUCGCUAAUCUCACCUGCUAAUCACUUUGUCCGGCAGCCGCAGCCGCAGCGGGACAGAGAUGAUGAUCGUGUGUUGUUAUUCUCACCUAGCUUUGCAUUUCUGCUAUGUCACGGC